rnacentral:tRNA from 1 species
GGGACUCUAGCUCAAUUGGUAGAGCGACGGGGUGAAAUCCCGUGCGUGGGGGUUCGAUUCCCUCGGGGCCCG